rnacentral:rRNA from 1 species
GACGAACGCUGGCGGCGUGGAUUAGGCAUGCAAGUCGAACGGUAUCAUCCUUUCGGGGGUGAGAGAGUGGCGAACUGGUGAGUAACACGUAGGUUAUCUACCCUCAAGACGGGGACAACCCAGGGAAACUUGGGCUAAUACCGGAUGUGAGCAACUUUUAGUUGUUUGAAAGGUGGCGUAAGCUGUCGCUUGGGGAUGAGCCUGCGUCCUAUUAGUUAGUUGGUGAGGUAACGGCUCACCUAGGCAAUGAUAGGUAGGCGGCCUUAACGGGUGGUCGCCCACACUGGGAUUGAGAUACGGCCCAGACUCCUACGGGAGGCAGCAGUCGAGAAUAGUCUACAAUGGUCGGAAGACUGAUAGUGCGACGCCGCGUGAACGAUGAAUCCUCGGGUGUAAAGUUCUUUUAUAUGUGAGCAGUGCUUCUUAUAUUAACAGUAUGGGAGAGAGAUAUUAGCAUAUGAAUAAGCAACGGCUAAACUCCGUGCCAGCAGCCGCCGGUAAAA